AUCCUUACGCUGCUGCCACUUCUAAGGGUUCUUACGAGAGUCCUUAAAUGUGGCCUUAUCAUAAAUGGAUAAUGAC
rnacentral:tRNA from 1 species